rnacentral:rRNA from 1 species
AUAUGGAGGACUCGUAUUCCUCCAAAGAUCAAGAUUUUCUUAUGGCAGGCUUCCCGUGGGCGGUUGCCGGCUGGUGACCAGAUCCGCAAACGUAAUGGGCCUGGCUCUGACUGUUGCGCCCUAUGCGGGCAGCGAGAGGACACGGCCCAUAUCUUCUUCAACUGUGUUUUGGCUCAACUCUUUUGGUGUUGUAUCAGAUCGUGGUUGCAUGUUUCUUGGAGAUCCACUUCCUUCUCGGACCUUCGUCUUCUGGCCUCUAACCUGGUUGGGGCCCAGAGAAGAUUGUUCUGGGUGGGAUUGGCAGCGGUGUGCUGGACUCUUUGGACGACUAGGAACAAGUUUACCAUUGAACAUGUCUUUCCUGUUAAACCUGCUGAUUGCUUAUUUAAAACUUGCAUAUUCUUGCAGCAGUGGAGAUUAUUGACUAAGGAGGAGGACCGGGAUGCUUUUGAUGUCAUGAUGUCCAAGAUUCGGGCUAUUGCUACCUCCCUUCCUCGAGCUCAAGCCGGCAAUUAG